rnacentral:rRNA from 1 species
AUUGAACGCUGGCGGCAGGCCUAACACAUGCAAGUCGAGCGGUAGCACAGAGAGCUUGCUCUCGGGUGACGAGCGGCGGACGGGUGAGUAAUGUCUGGGAAACUGCCUGAUGGAGGGGGAUAACUACUGGAAACGGUAGCUAAUACCGCAUAACGUCGCAAGACCAAAGUGGGGGACCUUCGGGCCUCAUGCCAUCAGAUGUGCCCAGAUGGGAUUAGCUAGUAGGUGGGGUAACGGCUCACCUAGGCGACGAUCCCUAGCUGGUCUGAGAGGAUGACCAGCCACACUGGAACUGAGACACGGUCCAGACUCCUACGGGAGGCAGCAGUGGGGAAUAUUGCACAAUGGGCGCAAGCCUGAUGCAGCCAUGCCGCGUGUGUGAAGAAGGCCUUCGGGUUGUAAAGCACUUUCAGCGGGGAGGAAGGCGGUGAGGUUAAUAACCUCAUCGAUUGACGUUACCCGCAGAAGAAGCACCGGCUAACUCCGUGCCAGCAGCCGCGGUAAUACGGAGGGUGCAAGCGUUAAUCGGAAUUACUGGGCGUAAAGCGCACGCAGGCGGUCUGUCAAGUCGGAUGUGAAAUCCCCGGGCUCAACCCGGGAACUGCAUUCGAAACUGGCAGGCUAGAGUCUUGUAGAGGGGGGUAGAAUUCCAGGUGUAGCGGUGAAAUGCGUAGAGAUCUGGAGGAAUACCGGUGGCGAAGGCGGCCCCCUGGACAAAGACUGACGCUCAGGUGCGAAAGCGUGGGGAGCAAACAGGAUUAGAUACCCUGGUAGUCCACGCCGUAAACGAUGUCGAUUUGGAGGUUGUGCCCUUGAGGCGUGGCUUCCGGAGCUAACGCGUUAAAUCGACCGCCUGGGGAGUACGGCCGCAAGGUUAAAACUCAAAUGAAUUGACGGGGGCCCGCACAAGCGGUGGAGCAUGUGGUUUAAUUCGAUGCAACGCGAAGAACCUUACCUGGUCUUGACAUCCACAGAACUUUCCAGAGAUGGAUUGGUGCCUUCGGGAACUGUGAGACAGGUGCUGCAUGGCUGUCGUCAGCUCGUGUUGUGAAAUGUUGGGUUAAGUCCCGCAACGAGCGCAACCCUUAUCCUUUGUUGCCAGCGGUUAGGCCGGGAACUCAAAGGAGACUGCCAGUGAUAAACUGGAGGAAGGUGGGGAUGACGUCAAGUCAUCAUGGCCCUUACGACCAGGGCUACACACGUGCUACAAUGGCAUAUACAAAGAGAAGCGACCUCGCGAGAGCAAGCGGACCUCAUAAAGUAUGUCGUAGUCCGGAUUGGAGUCUGCAACUCGACUCCAUGAAGUCGGAAUCGCUAGUAAUCGUAGAUCAGAAUGCUACGGUGAAUACGUUCCCGGGCCU